rnacentral:misc_RNA from 1 species
AAGUCGUAACAAGGUUUCCGUAGGUGAACCUGCGGAAGGAUCAUUACCAAAUCCAAAUUACCAACCCCAUGUGAACUUGUUUAUUGUCUGUCUUUGGGGGGUUAUGUCUUGAAAAAACUUGCGGGAGGCGGGGAGCUCGAGUAUUCUUAGGAAUAUUCUGUUUUCUGUUUUUUCUAAUAGUUUUAUUUUGGCUAAUCCCCCAAAUGAACCCGGAACAUGUAUAUAUUUCUCUUUUUCUUCUUUUUCUUUUUUUUUUCUAAAAAAGAGAAUGAGGAGGGAGGAGGUGUGGUACGUGUCUGCAAGGGUUUCAUUAAAAGGACUUUAAAAUCUUUAACAACUUUUUUAAAUUUUAUGUUGGAAUAACUUUUAUUAAUAAUACUAAUAAAGGACAACUUUUAACGGUGGAUCUCUUGGCUCGUG